AGAAAUAAAAAUUUGUAAAACAUGCUCUCAAGAAUGUUUAAAUAUUAAUCGAAAAUGAAAUAAUAAGUAAAAUGUUAACAUCACAUAAUACUAUAAAUCACAAGUAAAACAAACAAACAUGUACCUAAUCUAACCAUGGCAAAGCGCCUAAAUAUACGAUCAAGAAUAGCUUGCACAUGAUCAAGAAAUCAUGCAACCAAACUAAAUACAUGACCGAGAAUAUCUCACACGUGAUCCAUAUCCAUAAGGAAACACGAGGCCAGAAUGAGCUCACACAAAUUUAGUACAUGCCACAGUAACAACCUCCAUCCAAUCCAGUUAUGAUAGCAUAUUAAAUACACACUCGAGAAUAGCUAAUACUUGAUCCAUAUCCACAAGAAAACACGCGGUCAAACUGAGCUCACACAUACUUAGCACCUGCCAUAGUAACAACCUUUAUCCAAUCCAACCAUGAUAGCAUGCUAAAUACUCGGUCGGAAAUAGCUCACACGUGAUUCAUAUCCACAAGAAAACACCUGACCAAACUGAGGUCACGCAUACUUAGUACCCACCACAAUAGUAACCUCCAUAUCCACGAUCCUAUGUCAAAUAGAGCCACCCAUCAUGGGUUAAGCUAGGUCUAAAGCCAAAUCAUAAUCCUCCAUCCAUGUCCUCACCGAGGCUCAGGUCCUUGAAUCUUCAGUCACGACCUCUUUCAACCACGAAAUCCUCUGACAACCAAGGUGACACUAUGAAAACACAUUCACGUAGUAGUAGUCUAAGGCAAAGUUAAACGAAAGUUAUUUUCAACUUUCAACAUUCAUCUCUAGGACUCAAGUAUGAUGGUUUAUUCAAUUUUGACGCUUAAACUUAAUUGACGUUCAUGAACUCUAGGAAAACUCAACAAUAUUACUCCAAAACUUAUCAAUUUAAUUAAAUUAAGUACUCUUAACUUUAGUGGGCAACAUCAUAACAACCUUCUAAGUUCGAAAUCAAACAUCGACCACCAUGGUUGACUCAAUACUAUUACGAACAUUAGAUGACCGGUACUCAAGACAACUCUAAAAAUCUUAGAAUCUUGCCCAAGUUUUGCCAAAAUGCCUAAUUUCGAGCUUUUGAAUGGCUGGACAGCGCUUCAAACUCCUCGAAAACUCGAAACUAGUAUAUUAACCUUUAUUUUAUUUGUGUCCAAAUUAGUAGAUUUUGAUGGUCACAUUUAAAUAUAAAAAACAGAACACGUAUAUUGGUAGUUUGAAUUAUCAGCAUUUAUCUUCCAUUUUUGCGACAUAUGUUUGAACUAUGUAACCCUAUUUCUUUACCAGAUUAACACAAUAUUUUGUAUGAAUUUACUUAUAGGACAUAAUUAUAUUUUACCUGUUCAAAUUACUAUGUUUCCAUGGUCAGAUUUUAAAUAUUAAAAGAGCUUCAUCUAUCUUCUUUCUUUGUUUGAAUUUUCAACUAUCUAUGUGUGAAACAAAUAAUUCAAAAAUUAGUUUGGGAUCUCUAGACCUUCGUCAUUCGUCACAGUGAUUUUCUUUGUAGCCACAACGAUUUUCUCUCUCUUUAUUCUCUCUCAUUCAUUGUUCGUUUUGUGAACCAUCCAACUUUGCGUCACCAUACUAUAGCUUGUCAAAUUCCCAGUCCUUGGUUCGUUGCCCCUCAAUCGCAGCGGUGCUACUGUCAUUGAAAGUUGUUUUCGUACAACAACCAUUUAUGUCGAUUUCUGCCCUUUUAACAUCGCCCGCCACUCGAGCAAGACCUCCGAUAUAAUUGACUAAACCUCAAAUUCAAUUAUGUUCAAAUAAAACCAACAAAGUUUUCUUGGAAUAUAUACUAAACCCACGUUUAUCCACCCAUAAACAUUAUAAAUCAAUGUAUUUUAGAAUCAUAAUGAAAUGUGACGAAAAAUAGUUUAAUCUAAUUGAGGAAUAUAACGGAAGGUGUUCGAUUCGAGUGUGUUUAAAAUUUAAAUGGGACUAUCCUUAUUAUUAUUAUUACUACCGAUAACUGUAUUAGAAUUUCAAUGUACAAAAAAAACUUGUUCAUAAAAAAUACAUAGUAAAAAUUUGGAUUUAACGCGGAAAAAAGGUUGGUUUACCCAUUUUAAAUACAAAAUUUUAGUAGUUUGAAGUAUAACCAUAUACUAUUUUAGCAUAAAAAGUUUCGGUGAAAUAGGCAGAUAAACCCUUUUAUAUGAAACACUUAAAACAAUUAAAGCUUAAUAUAAUAUUAAAUUUAGCUGCUUACAUAUAAGAUUAAUUAAUAAACGAACUCUAUAUUAACUGUCUUGAAAGCAAUAUCAACAUCAUAAAACAAAAACCAAACCUAUAGCAAGGGCUACACCAUGCAUCCUCUCUAGGAAGCUAGAAUAUCAUAUUCCACAUUAAAUUCAAUAGUAAAUUGUUCAUAUAUAUAACGAGUUCUUCCAUGAAAGUUAUCCCAAAAUUUAACGAAAAGGAGGGGGUGAUGACCGGAUGACAUGCCCGAUUGGCCAUGGUGGCAUGCUCAAUAUUGCUCGUGCAUAACGUACAUAAAGUUGAUGUGGAAGACGGUUUUGUAUGUUAUUUGGUGGUGGCGGUGAUGGAGAAGCAUCGACAGUGUAUCCGAUCGCCAAGGAGGGAAGGGUAAUUAGAGAUAGAAACAAUAAUAGGAAAUAAACAAAUAGAAGGGAAGCUAGUGAAGAAGAAUUAGAUGGCUUCAUUUUUGGAGAUGAGAUCUUCAAGAAAAAUAGAAGAUGGUUUGGGUUUAUAUGAAACAAAAGCCUGGGAUUAAUCCCUUUAUACAAAAAUUGCCUUUUUCAAAAGAAAGACAAAAAAAAAAAGGUAUUGUGUGAAAGUUGGAAGAAACUUCCGAUCUUCUGCCAAGAAAAUGGUUAUGUAACUUUAAAUUAUAUUUAAAAGUCAAACAUAGAAAAUUAGUGCAAUGAAAACAAAAUUCUAUGAAUAAAAAUCAAUUGUGUCUAAUUGAUAUCAGCCAUGAGAACAUAUACAUCCAAACUAAGGAAAAUAUCAAAUGAAUUCGUCUGAACAUGUGUGAAAAAAGAGAUUAUUUGAUGACAUUCAAAUACAUCUUAAUAAGAAAUUUUGAAUCAAUCAUAAAUUACCAGAAAUUUUGGACCAAUCAUAAAUUACCACGUUAAUGACUAAAUUAAUGACGAAAAAAUACAAAUAGUUGAAUUUAAUUGAACUCAUGAAUGGAUCAAUUCUUAUGUUGCAUGUUUUUUAUUAUGAUCGUUGAUCAAAUUAAUUAUUUUUAUCUUAUUAAAUAUUGAAAAAAUUGGACAAAUUUUUUAAUUUUCUUAAAUAAGAUUUCGAGAUUUUUGUUCACCAUUUUAUCCCUCACGUUAAUUGUAACUAAUAUUUCUUUUCGAAAAUAUAUAAUAAUAUAAUACCAUAAUUAUAUCAUAUCUCAUUUAUUAUGUAUCUAAAAACUUGACUGUUUAAUUUAUUUAAUGAAAUAUAAUUUAAUUCUCAUUUAUUAGUGUUCCAAUUUAAUUAUGGUAUAUAUUUGAGUCAAAUAUGGUAAUAAUAUAUUAAAUAUUUAUCACAAAAGUAACCAUUUUGUCUUAAUUGCACAUUUAACAAACGUUUUGUAACUUUGAUCAUCUUCUUCAACAAGAAUUUCAUACACUUUCGGGCGUUCUCACCCAAUAAUUUGACCGUCUGAUUUAUUUCUCAUCGAUCAAUCUUUCAUAUUUUGGUCAUCUCGUUCAACUUAUUUAGUGAGUGCAUAUUUUGAUUUAAUUUUUCGUUGAAGUUUUCGAUCAAAAUAAUGUGAACUUUUCGAUCAUCUCCUUCAAUUUAAUUAUUUCAAGUUAUUAAUUUUUUUUCUUAAAUUGUAUAAUAUAGUAUACAAUAUAUAAUGAACUUUUUUUCCAUUUCUUAUUUAAUACUACGUGCGGUUAAUGACCUUUUUCAAAUUUAUGGACUUCGGACUAUUUAUACUUUUUUAGGUGUAACGUCCAAAAAGUUUAAAUAACUUACUUUGAGUAUUACAUUAAAUGAAAUUGGAAGUUAUGAAAUUUAUUUGAUGUUAGAUUAAAUUAAAAUUAGAAGAUAAGGAAUUUAGUUGGUGUAAUUUUUUGAAUUAAUUAAAUAUAUAUAUUUAGGUAUGUAUAUUUAAUUAAAGAUUUUGGAAUUUUGUGAAAAAUGUUAUAACAUGAGAGCCCACUAUCUCGAGCUCUUCCAGGAUUAGAACUUUAGAACAUUCGAGGACGAAAGUUUGUCAAAAGAAGGAAAAUUGUAUCUCUCCAAAAAUUAAGGUAAUAUAUCAAAUGUAACCAUUUUUUUCCCAAGUAAUUAUAUUUCAAUAUAUAAUUAAUAUUUUUCUUCUAAACAAAUCCAAUUCAUUCUCUUUUCUUAUUUACCCAAAUCAUAUCAACUUCUCUCCACAAACAAUAUUUAUCUUUAUCCAAAUAAUUAAUUAUAUCUUAAGUAAUAGUUAAUUUUUCACAAAUAGAAUUAUCAUAUAUAACCACAUAUACAUAUCAUUAUCAUAUCUCUAACAAAAAAAAUCAAUCUUCAAUUUAAUUAAAUAAAUACCCAAAUUAUUUAAUUAAAUUUAAUCUAAACAGCACCAAACAUUCAAUUGUACUAAUUAAUUAAAUAUUCAACUAAAAAAUAUUUAAUUAAUUUAUUUCUACAAAACCAUCAAUUCUAAAUCAAAUAUUUCAAAUUAACGUCUACUAGUUAUAACAUAAUUAAAUAAAAUUAAGAUAAUUAUAUUCAAUAUUACCUUAAUCGUUGGGGGUUACAAUCUUCCCUCCGGUGUGAAACUUUCAUCUUCGAAAGUUCUAUUCAUCGAACAACUUGAAAUAUUAGACUCUCAUAUUUUAACAUUUUUCAUCAAAUUCCAAAAUCUUUAAUUAAAGAUACAUACCUAUGUAUAUAUAUUUAAUUAACUGAACACAUUACACUAAAUAAAUUCUUUACCUAAUUUUAAUCUAACACUAAAUAAAUUUCAUAACUUUCAUUUCCAUUUAAUGCAAUACUCAUAAUAAGUUCCUUAAACUUUUGGGGUGUUACAAUCUUCCCUUGCUAAGAAACUUUUGUCCCUCAAAAGUUAUAGUCCUUGAACAAUUCGGGUAUCAUGCUCUGUUAGCUCUCAUUCCACUCUCCUUUAUUUAUUUUUAUUUAUUUUAAUAUCUCCUACAUUGUGAAAAACAAGUUAGAAUACUUUUUAUACUCCUUAAAGUUUGAGUCAUUUUGAUAAGAACAAUUAUAACCAAUUUAGUUGGACAUAAGACUUGAAUUCCGUUAGAUGUUGAAAAAAAUGAAGAUAAAAGCAAAAUGAAAGUUAAUUAUAAAGUGAGGGGCAGAAUGGUCUUUUCUUAAGAUCAUUCUAAGAAAAUUCGAAUGCUUAUCAUAUUCAAAAUUUAAAUACAUACAUUAUAUCAAAACAUAAUAUCAAUACAUACAUACAUUUUUUUAAAUUCAAUAAAUAGAUAUACAUACAUUUUUCAUUAUAUUAUGCACUACAUACAUACAUACAUUUUUCUAAUAUUUAACAAACAUACAUUUGAAUCUAAAUCCUAAAAACAUUCAUUAUCUUAUACACAUUCAAUUUUCUAAUUUUUCUUUUAUAAAAAGAUAAUAACCUUGUGGCGGUGAACGACAAUGGAGAACGGUGGGCGGCAAAAAGAACGGUGGUGGCGACAACGAACAACAUGAACGGUGGCGCAAGACAACAAGCUCUCUUCCUGAUCUCUCUCAACCCUCUUUACAAUUCUCUUUGUGUUUUUGUUCUGUUUUGUGUUCAUGAAGAAAGAAAUAGACCCGACAUUUCCCAACGUUCUAAAAAAAGUCAGGGUAACACACCAUCCUUGACGUCGUACAUGCAAACGUCAGAGAACGUUAAAACCUUCCUCGACGUGUCACUAAUGGUGUCGCAGAUAGGUUACAUUUCAAAUUUAUUAGAUAUUAUUUUUCCACGACAUGGUCAACGCGACAUCGGUCAAAGGGGACCUAAUUCUGACGUGCCUCUACCACAUGUAGGGAAAGUUUACGUAUUUACUAACUGUAUUAUUCUACUUUUCCUAACGUGUGUUAGGGACACGCCAAGGAAAAGUGAAACAAUUAUUUAAUUAAUGUUCCCACUUUCUCCGACGUGUCUCUACCACACGUUGGAGAAAGUGGAAACAUUAAAUAAUUGUCUCCAUCUUCUCUGACGUGUGUCUCUUGAACGUUGGGGAACAUCUCUAAAGCCGACGCAAGUAACAAUUUGGUUGGUCAAGGUCGAUGCCAAUUUUUCCAACAUCGUUUUGUAUAUAUUCAAGUAAAAAUAGAAAUAUUAUAGUAUCUAAAAGAACAUUGUUGACUAACCCGAGACAAAGAAUGUCGGUUCUUAACUAUUGGGAAUCAUAAAAAAUAGACAAUAAUAUAACAAUUUAACAAAAAUAAAUUUGUAAAAACAAACACAAGAAGACAAGACUUUAAUGUCGAUUUUAAACUGAUAUUAUUGGGGAUUUAUGAUGUCGGUUUUAUACCGACAUUGUUGGCCUCUUUAAUGUCAGCUUUAAACCAACACCAAAGCCCAAUCGAUGUUAAAGGACUUUAAUAACAUGAUCAUAGAUGUCAAUUUAAAAUAGACACCGUACCUCUUUAAUGUAGAUUUGAAACCAACUUCAAAGCCCAAUCAACAUUAAAGAGCUUUAAUAACACUAUCAUAGAUAUCAGUUGUCAACCGACAUGAAAACCCUUUAAUGUUGGUUUUAAACCAACAUUAAAGCCUAGUUUUAUACUAGCAUUACCUUCCAUCCUGGCAGGACAAGCACCAGGAUUUGCCCAAGAACUUAAAUCUCUAAAGCUUGUUAUCCUUCAUCUUGAUUAGGAAACACCGAGAUUAGUCUCGAGAUUAGGAUUCUUAACUUCUCUGCCUUCCAUUUUGGCUAGAUAAGAAUCGAGAUUAGCCCGAGAACUCAAUAUCUAAAGCUUUAUGUUUUUCAUCUCAGCCAAGAAACAUCGAGGUUAUCCUCGGGGUUAGGCUUCUUAACUUCUCUGCCUUAUUCCAUCCUGGCCACAAGCACCAAGAGAUUAGCUCGAGAACUCUAUCUCUAAAGCCUUUUGUCCUUCUUCUCGAUCGAGAAAUACCGAGAUUAGCCUCGAGAUUAAACUUCUUAACUCCUUUGCCUUCCAUCUCGGUUGGACAAGCAAUGACAUUAGUCCAGGAACUCAAUCUCUAAAGUUUUAUGUCCUUCAUCUCAGUCGGGAAACAUCGAGAUUAGCCCCAAAAUUUCACUUCUUUCUUCAAUUUCACUUAACUUCUCUAUCUUCCAUCCCAAUCAGGCAACACCGGGAUUAACACAAUAACUUAAUCUCUAAAGCUUUUUGUCCUUCAUCUUGGGUUGGAAAACACCAAGAUUAAUCCUAAGCUUUCACUUCUAACAUUUUGUGUGCCGUGUAUGCCACCAAAGAUGGAAAGAAAAUAAUUGCAAUUAGUUCGAGUGAUUUAGGUUUUUAUGGCCUUUUUUUGGUAUUUCACCGUCUAUUUUGAGUUUUGUACAUAAUGGGUUAAAAAAUUGCUAGGAGAUGUAAAUAUUUUGCCUAAUUAUUCUAUUUCAAGGAAUCUCUCGGUAUAAAACAUAUCUUUAAUUAUUUAAAAUUAAUUUUGUGAUAUCAAACUUAUAAAAAGGAAAAUUACAAUCUAAAACUGUAAAAUUAAAUAUUAAAUUAAUUAAUUUUGAAAUAAUAAAAUAUGGUGUUUCGAAAUAAAUAGUGAACAUAUUUAGCACUUCCAAAUCAUGACAUCCCAACAAUCAAUCAUCUAAAAACACUUAUUUGCAAAAGACAAUGCAUUUCAUCCCAUAGAAAUAAUUUAUUUCCCUCUACAACUACUAUAUAUUAUAAUAAAGAUUAAUUUAUAAACAAACCCAACUAGGUGUCACUUAAUUAAUUGAUUGAGUUCGUAUUCAAUAUAUUAAAAUAGAGUUUAUUAUGAUCCGGCCAAAUGUAACAAAACUAAAAUAGAAAGAAAAAAGUUCCAUAACAAAUUCAAUGAGAAAGAAAAAACAAUCCUUUUAACAUUAUUGAUGCUUCGUAUAAGGAGCAGAAGCCUCCUCCUUUCUGUGACAAAUGCUUCUUUUUUAAUAUCAUAUCUCACCUAUGUCGAAACUAAUAUUAAACUUUUUUCCCUUAAAAUGCAUCUGAGAAAAAUUCUUCUCACUUAUUUUUCAAAAUAUUAUUUACCUGUUUGAAUCAAAUACACAGCUCGAAAUACGCCCAACAAAUCUAGAAGGGAGGUGGCGGGGACUUUUUGACGUGAUUGGGAGGCCAUUGAAACUUGGGCGGUGGGGGAGGCGGCGGGCGUGCAACAGUUCCACAUAGUGGCGGUGGUGGAAGAUAUUUUCUGUGGUGGCGAUGGCGAUGACGAUUUUUGAACGGAGAAGAGUGGGCAUCAACAAGGGACAGGAAGCUUGAAGAAAGGAGUAAUAAUGUCACCAAAAUGGCGAAAAGGAGAGAAGACAUCGAAGACUUCAUUUUGUUUUGUUUUGGCGUUUUAAUGAAAUCAUAUGGUUUUGUUUGGGUUUGUAUAUAUAUUGUCACACCAUACCAACUACUCCCCGGCGGCUGUUUGACAUUUUCCAAAUUGGUGAGUGAGAAUUAAGUUGGGAUGUGAUAGCUAUGACCCCGUUCAUUUAUUUUUAAUAACUAAAUAAUUUUGGAGUGCCA
rnacentral:lncRNA from 1 species